CAGGACGAACGCUGGCGGCGUGCUUAACACAUGCAAGUCGAACGGAACACCCUUGACAGAGGUUCGGCCAAUGAAGAGGAAUGUUUAGUGGCGGACUGGUGAGUAACGCGUGAGGAACCUGCCUUUCAGAGGGGGACAACAGUUGGAAACGACUGCUAAUACCGCAUGAAGCAGCGAGGGGACAUCCCCUUGCUGUCAAAGAUUUAUCGCUGAAAGAUGGCCUCGCGUCUGAUUAGCUAGUUGGUGGGGUAACGGCCCACCAAGGCGACGAUCAGUAGCCGGACUGAGAGGUUGACCGGCCACAUUGGGACUGAGAUACGGCCCAGACUCCUACGGGAGGCAGCAGUGGGGAAUAUUGGGCAAUGGACGCAAAGUCUGACCCAGCAACGCCGCGUGAAGGAAGAAGGCUUUCGGGUUGUAAACUUCCUUUAACAGGGAAGAGAAGAAGACGGUACCUGUUGAAUAAGCCACGGCUAACUACGUGCCAGCCGCUGC
rnacentral:rRNA from 1 species